rnacentral:ncRNA from 1 species
GUUUCAGGGCGGGGUGGAAGUCCCCACCGGCAGUGACAGUCUGCGAGCCUGAGGUUUACCGAUGGCUGAUCCGGUGUAAUUCCGGAACCGACAGUUAUAGUCUGGAUGGGAGAAA